UACGUAGGGGGCAAGCGUUGUCCGGAAUCAUUGGGCGUAAAGAGCGUGUAGGCGGUUCGGUAAGUCGGCUGUGAAAGUCCAGGGCUCAACCCUGGGAUGCCGGUGGAUACUGUCGAGCUCGAGUCCGGAAGAGGCGAGUGGAAUUCCUGGUGUAGCGGUGAAAUGCGCAGAUAUCAGGAGGAACACCCGUGGCGAAAGCGGCUCUCUGGGACGGUACUGACGCUGAGACGCGAAAGCGUGGGGAGCAAACAGG
rnacentral:rRNA from 1 species